AUUGAACGCUGGCGGCAGGCCUAACACAUGCAAGUCGAGCGGAUGAAGGGAGCUUGCUCCUGGAUUCAGCGGCGGACGGGUGUGUAAUGCCUAGGAAUCUGCCUGGUCGUGGGGGAUAACGUCCGGAAACGGGCGCUAAUACCGCAUACGUCCUGUGGUAGAAAGUGGGGGUUCUUCGGACCUCACGCUAUCAGAUGAGCCUAGGUCGGAUUAGCUAGUUGGUGGGGUAAAGGCCUACCAAGGCGACGAUCCGUAACUGGUCUGAGAGGAUGAUCAGUCACACUGGAACUGAGACACGGUCCAGACUCCUACGGGAGGCAGCAGUGGGGAAUAUUGGACGAUGGGCGAAAGCCUGAUCCAGCCAUGCCGCGUGUGUGAAGAAGGUCUUCGGAUUGUAAAGCACUUUAAGUUGGGAGGAAGGGCAGUAAGUUAAUACCUUGCUGUUUUGACGUUACCAACAGAAUAAGCACCGGCUAACUUCGUG
rnacentral:rRNA from 1 species